GACGAUUGAUAAGUGACUUCAAUUUCCAUUAUAUCUCCCUCAAUGGUUUCUUCAAAAAGGUUACCACUGGCAUGUAUAGUUUCAGACACUACCUGCUCAGGUUUUAUUGCAACUUUUUUAACAUUCAGACUUUUAUUGUCAAUUUUAGAAUCUGCUCCUUUGAAUUUCUCAAUAGCAGCUACCACGUCUCCAGUAUGAACGUCUUCAGUAUCAUUUGCUUCUUAUCAAUCUCCUCCUUCUACAAAUAAUGGAUUGUAUUAUAUCCGAUCUAAUCUGUUUUCAAAUUUAUGAAAGCCAAGGCAUUUAUGGCUCGACUCUUGGCUUCUAAGCAUCUUUCCCCGUUGUCUUCUUAUUCAAUAACUUUUUCAGUAUGAGCCAUGUUGCUCUCAGUGGCUUGGAAAUAUCUUAUUAUAUGUCCUGGUUUGCCACACCAAUAACAUCUGGGAGUCUUUUUAUGAUUGUUAAAAGACUCUUCCUUCUUUCUAGGCAACCUUGAACCACAUGCGAAUCGAGAGUGAGGCAUAUCUCUUGCUUUUUAUUUAACGAUUUUCUUAUCAUCUACAAGAGCAUUUUCUUCCCUUUCCUUGACAAAUUCACUAGCCAAAUGUUUAGCUAGUAACUCCUGAGAUGACAACAAAGUCUCAAAUUCCUCCAAGUAUGGUUGUUGAGCCCAUCUCUAAAUUGAUGUCACAAAGGUAAUAUAUUCUGAUUUCAAACCACAAAUGAUAAUUCUUCUCAUUCGUGCUUCAGAAAUAGCCUCAUCUGAAUUCAAUAAGGAAAUCUUAGAACAUAAGUUCUUAAUCUUUAAAAGUACUUGACAAUAAAAAGAUUAUCUUAAGUGGUGUUCACCAAUUUAUUCUCCAAUAUUUGGAAUCGGGCUCCAUUUUUCUUAUUGAUCAACUGGUUGAGGGUCCUCCAAAUUUCAUGAGCUGAUUUACACCUUAUAAUAUGGUCAAAUAAAACAGAGGAGAUGGACCUCUUUAAAAUAAACUUUGUCUUCGUAUUAAUCUACUUCCACUUCUUGUAUGCACUACAAUUCUUCGGUCCGUCAUCCGAAGGACUUGCAUUACUCCAGUUAACAACAUCCCACAAAUCCUUGUUCACAAGGUAUGAUUUCAUACAUGUCUUCCAUACCUUGUAAUUGAACUGAUUCAAGAACUCCAUUCCUAGUCCAUUAACGUGACCACUUAAAUCUAUUCGGACAAACUAGUUGAAUCAGCCACAAAUCCAAUCUUGAAAUAAACACAAGCCAAUUUAUGAGUUUGGAUCUGAUACCAUGUAGAGAAUAGCAAAAUAAAUGUAUAGUUGGAUAUACCUUCUACUAGCCCAAGAUUGUUAACUAAGAUCAGAAGAUUAAACUAAGAAGGAAAAGCUAUGAAAGAAGAGGCUUUGUUAUGGAAGAAGACUUCUUGAAUUGGAUUA
rnacentral:lncRNA from 1 species